rnacentral:rRNA from 1 species
UAAGGAAUCUUCCACAAUGGGCGAAAGCCUGAUGGAGCAACGCCGCGUGCAGGAUGAAGGCUCUCGGGUCGUAAACUGCUUUUCUGUGUGACGAUUUUAAGACGGUAGCACAGGAAUAAGCAUCGGCUAACUCCGUGCCAGCAGCCGCGGUAAUACGGAGGAUGCAAGCGUUAUCCGGAUUUACUGGGUUUAAAGGGUGCGUAGGUUGUAGGGUAAGUCUACGAUUAAAGACCAGGGCUUAACCCUGGGAGUGUUGUAGAUACUGCUUUACUAGAGGUCAGACGGGGAAAGCGGAAUUCCCGGUGUAGGGGUAAAAUCCGUUGAUAUCGGGAGGAACACCUGUGGCGAAAGCGGCUUUCUAGACUGAUCCUGACACUGAGGCACGAAAGCCAGGGGAGCGAAGCGG